GGUCAAGUGGUCUAGUGGUAUGAUUCUCGCUUUAGGUGCGAGAGGUCCCGUUUUGAUCACCGGCUUUGCCCA